GAUGAACGCUGGCGGCGUGCCUAAUACAUGCAAGUCGAGCGAACAGACGAGGAGCUUGCUCCUCUGACGUUAGCGGCGGACGGGUGAGUAACACGUGGAUAACCUACCUAUAAGACUGGGAUAACUUCGGGAAACCGGAGCUAAUACCGGAUAAUAUAUUGAACCGCAUGGUUCAAUAGUGAAAGACGGUUUUGCUGUCACUUAUAGAUGGAUCCGCGCCGCAUUAGCUAGUUGGUAAGGUAACGGCUUACCAAGGCAACGAUGCGUAGCCGACCUGAGAGGGGGUAGGGCCCAAAUGGAACGGAGACCCGGUCAGGACCCCUAGGGGGGGCAGCAGUAGGGAAUCUCCCGAAAUGGGCGAAAGCUUGACGGAGAAACGCCGGGUGGGGGAAGAAGUGCUUCGGGUGGUAAAACCCUUUUUUUAGGGAAAAAAAAAUGUGAAAGUAAAUAUGUCCGUUUUACGGGAACCAAUAAAGAAAGCCAGGGCAAACUCCGU
rnacentral:rRNA from 1 species